AGCGAACGCUGGCGGCAGGCCUAACACAUGCAAGUCGAACGGACCCUUCGGGGUUAGUGGCGGACGGGUGAGUAACACGUGGGAACGUGCCUUUAGGUUCGGAAUAGCUCCUGGAAACGGGUGGUAAUGCCGAAUGUGCCCUUCGGGGGAAAGAUUUAUCGCCUUUAGAGCGGCCCGCGUCUGAUUAGCUAGUUGGUGAGGUAACGGCUCACCAAGGCGACGAUCAGUAGCUGGUCUGAGAGGAUGACCAGCCACACUGGGACUGAGACACGGCCCAGACUCCUACGGGAGGCAGCAGUGGGGAAUCUUGCGCAAUGGGCGAAAGCCUGACGCAGCCAUGCCGCGUGAAUGAUGAAGGUCUUAGGAUUGUAAAAUUCUUUCACCGGGGACGAUAAUGACGGUACCCGGAGAAUAAGCACCGGCUAACUUCGUGCCAGCCGCCGCAGUAA
rnacentral:rRNA from 1 species